AGGGCUGGGAGCAUGACGGCAGAGAAGACGGGCCAGGAGCUGCCAAGCCUUACCACCGCCACCUGCCAGCCCACAUGCCCUGGCUGGUGAUGAGGCGCCAGGCACCAAUGCAGCCGUACCACCGCCACCUGUGUGCCCAACACAUGGCCAGGAGGAGGAGGAGGAGGAGCCACCAGGCCCCAUCUCAUCCG